rnacentral:misc_RNA from 1 species
GCAUAUCCAUAAUUUCUGCAUCUCAUGCACAUUUUGGAAGUUCUGUAUACAGUAUUUUAGGUAAUUCUGAGAGUUCUACGUUCAUCAUCUUGGAGUCAAAGUUAGGCAUUCUAAUUAGGAGUUUUUACUCCUACAAGGAUGAGGAAAAAGGAACCAUAAGCACCCAGAAAAUAUAAUAAUAUUAGCACUCUUAGGUAUUUGUAAUUACAGAAUUAUAAUUUUUUAAUAUCAAAUAUAAUAAUAUUACUAUGUGAACUCAUCUGCCUGAAGUUUUUCUCUUUAUUACUAUUUGAACUCAUCUGCCUGAAGUA